UACGAAGGGGGCUAGCGUUGUUCGGAAUUACUGGGCGUAAAGCGCACGUAGGCGGAUUGUUAAGUGAGGGGUGAAAUCCCAGGGCUCAACCCUGGAACUGCCUCUCAUACUGGCAAUCUCGGAGUUCGAGAGAGGUGAGUGGAAUUGCGAGUGUAGAGGUGAAAUUCGUAGAUAUUCGCAGGAACACCAGUGGCGAAGGCGGCUCACUGGCUCGAUACUGACGCUGGAGGUGACGAAAGCGUGGGGAGCAAACAGG
rnacentral:rRNA from 1 species